GGACCAGCAUGAACCAUUACAGGUGUACCUUCCAAAGAUUGCAUAAGCGUUGGUUCGAUCGCAUCUUUCAGAAGGAUAGCCAUUGCACCAGUCAUACCCUAUUAAAUUAUCAAAAACUAACAGAGAUAUGGAAGGAAGUUUCCCUCGUUUUAUUCUUCUCAGUUGGACUUUGACCAAUAGUUAUUUUACGUAAGAAACGAUCAUUUAUAUCAACCACUACAAAAAAAAUAAAUCUUUAAUGAAUAUACACUUGUAUGACUAACGAUAAAA
rnacentral:lncRNA from 1 species